UACGAAGGGGGCUAGCGUUGCUCGGAAUUACUGGCGUAAAGGGCGCGUAGGCGGAUAGUUUAGUCAGAGGUGAAAGCCCAGGGCUCAACCUUGGAAUUGCCUUUGAUACUGGCUAUCUUGAGUUCGGGAGAGGUGAGUGGAAUGCCGAGUGUAGAGGUGAAAUUCGUAGAUAUUCGGCGGAACACCAGUGGCGAAGGCGACUCACUGGCCCGAUACUGACGCUGAGGCGCGAAAGCGUGGGGAGCAAACAGG
rnacentral:rRNA from 1 species